CUUCUGUGAAUUUCUAUGCUUAUGAGCGCUACAAGAGUUUGAUACAUUCAGUUCUUGGCCUGGAAAAACAGAGAGGGAGUGCUCCUGCAGAUCUUGCUGUACACUUUGUAGCUGGUGGGUUGUCAGGAAUAACAGCUGCUUCUGCAACAUAUCCACUAGAUCUUGUGAGGACGCGCCUUGCAGCACAGAGGAACACAAUCUACUACAGAGGUAUUGGGCAUGCAUUUCAUACCAUAUGCAGAGAAGAAGGGUUUUUGGGCCUGUAUAAGGGAC
rnacentral:misc_RNA from 1 species